UUUCCGUAGGUGAACCUGCGGAAGGAUCAUUAAAAUUCUAGUCCCCCUGCGCUCUGGGCAGGGGUCUUCUAUACCACCCUUUGUUUAUUACAUCUUUGUUGCUUUUGCGGGCCUGCCCUCGGUCUGCUGGCUCCGGCCGUCUCGCGUCUGCCUGAGGACAUAUUCUCUGUUUGUAUAUGAAAUCUGAGUACUUUAUAAUAGUUAAAACUGUCAACAACGGAUCUCUUGGUUCUG
rnacentral:misc_RNA from 1 species